CUGAACUUAGCUCAGUUGGUAGAGCGGAGGACUGUAGAUCCUUAGGUUAGUGGUUCAAAUCCGGUAGGUCAGA